AGACGUUCACCUUGCUUCUUGAAGCAAGGCGCAGUUCGACUCAGGCCAUGGAACGGGGACCUGAG
rfam:Marine metagenome 1096626467601, whole genome shotgun sequence.